GCAUAUAUAUAUCUCCCUAUGCCUGCUUGAGACCUAGUGGGUAGAUCGGCGGAGUCGGCGGCCGAACCCACUGGGAACUAUUCGUAGUUCUCACCCCCGUGUGGCUUUGGGGGUACAGGUACACAGGAUAGCGGGCCUUCAUCGAUGGAUCGCGGCAAGGGCUUAGCGCCCUAGCAGUUUGGUUGAUAGCUUUACCUUCCCUACUUGCAUUAGCUCUACCCUGUACUUUUGGUUUAUACAUUUUGAGAGUAGAUGUUGUAUAGGGUGAGGUUUUGGAGAGUUUAUGAUGUGUAUUCAUUUUGGAAAAAGAAUGCAAGUUGUAUUAAAUAGUUAAAGUUUAAAAGAUGUUGGAAGAGGUUUAAUGUUUGUAUGAUGUCUCAAAUAGUUAAGUUUCUCUCUUUUGUAUACUUGUAUGGUUUUACUUGUAUCGCUUGCUCUAGUUGGUGGUAGCACUGUUUGUGCUCUCGUUUCGUUGUUGAUUGUGUAUGAGUGCAAGUUGUUUUUCCUGGGGACUUGUUGUACACAAUCUGUUGCUUAGCCUUGGGCGGACAGAAAAAACUCCGUCCGUUCGGCGGUCGCGCCGCCGCCCUCGAACCGGACCAAAUUGGUACCGUUUUCGGGUGGUGCGGUUUGGGGCGUGACAGUAACGUCCUUUUGAAUGCAAAUCCAUGCUAGAUAGAAUUUAUGGAAAUUUUAGAAAACUUAAAAUGCAUGCCUUAUGUAUCAUGAAAAUUUCACUCUAUAUAGUAGGGCAUUCUAGGUACUUUGCAUGCAUAUGAGAAGUGUUCGUGUUAGCGACUUGGAAACAUGUUUCUUAUGUUAGAAUUUGCUCAAAUUAUGCAUUUGUAAACAAUAAACUCAUGUUUGGACUUAGUGGACAAAAAUGCCAUAAAGGGGCAUUUGAUAUAGUAAACUGUGAAACUGCAACAUAGAGACAUAGUGAUAGGCCAUUGAACAUCUGCUAUAUUCCAUGUUAGAGACAUGAUGACAUAGAGAUAGGCCUUUGAGACAUUCGAUGUAUACUCCAUGUUUUUAGACAUGAGGACUUGGUACUUGAGACGGAUCUUAUGCUAUUUGCCAUUGUGCUCAUUCGCACAUGCUUGUGAGGGUUGCUCCCUAUAAGCCGGCACUCCGGAGAUAGCCAUCGCGAUAUAUAUUCGCCUUGCGGGAUUGGGCGCCGAAGUGGAUUGCCGUGGGCUAGGCUCGUCCCUAGGGUGGGGAUGUUGACUACCACGGGGCCAUUAGGCUCGGCACCGACCAGACAGCCUACGGGUGGGUCUCAGGGCCAGGCAGCCUUCGGGCGGGUCUCUUCAGAUUUGACUUUGAGCAUUCAUCAUGACAUGUGUACAUUGACUAGAAUAGUAAACUAGACAUUUUACUAUUACAUUGUGGACUUUAUGUUAGUUGCAUGUUCGCUCGCAUUCUUGGUAGAAUAGCUUUCUUACUUAUGCUAAAUCAUGCUAAGUAGAGAUAUCAUGUGGUAGCAAAUAUUCAUGCUCAUUUACUUGUCGUAUUUCUCGCUUUAUCUAUCUAUAUGCACUUACCCUCUUUUGUUCAGUUUUUGGGCCUAGUGGCGCAAUGCACUGAAGUCAGUAAUUACCCACUGGAAACUAUUAUUUAAUAGUUCUCACGCCCCUGUUUUAUGGUUUCUUUCAGAGCCUUCGGCACUGGCGGAGGCACGGGAUCGCGGCAAGGGAGUCGCGUAGCUAGCUAACGGGGAGCUCGUUUUUGCUCUUAGAUGGUUGCUCUUUCUUAUGUUUUGUCAGUGAGAGAGAGGUUUUGUACUAUAUAUAGAGACCACCUAUGUACCUUGUUUAGCUCUUGUAUUCGGAUUUUCAGAUGUACUACUUUNCUUAGCAGUUGGUUGAUAGCUUUACCUUUCCUACUUGCAUUAGCUCU
rnacentral:lncRNA from 1 species